AACGUAGGAGACAAACGUUAUCCGGAGUUACUGGGCGUAAAGGGCGUGUAGGUGGUAGAGUAAGUCUGGCGUGAAAUUUUUCGGCUUAACCGGGAAAGGUCGUCGGAUACUGCUUAACUAGAGGACGGUAGAGGCGUGUGGAAUUCCGGGUGUAGUGGUGAAAUGCGUAGAUAUCAGGAGGAACACCGGUGGCGAAGGCGCCUAUCUGGCCCAAUACUGACGCUGAGGCGCGAAAGCUAGGGGAGCAAACAGG
rnacentral:rRNA from 1 species